UACGUAGGUGGCAAGCGUUGUCCGGAUUUACUGGGUGUAAAGGGCGUGCAGCCGGGAAGACAAGUCAGAUGUGAAAUCCCGCGGCUCAACCGCGGAACUGCGUUUGAAACUGUUUUUCUUGAGUACCGGAGAGGUCAUCGGAAUUCCUUGUGUAGCGGUGAAAUGCGUAGAUAUAAGGAAGAACACCAGUGGCGAAGGCGGAUGACUGGACGGCAACUGACGGUGAGGCGCGAAAGCGUGGGGAGCAAACAGG
rnacentral:rRNA from 1 species